GCGGGAAUAGCUCAGUUGGUAGAGCACAACCUUGCCAAGGUUGGGGUCGCGGGUUCGAACCCCGUUUCCCGCUCCA
rnacentral:tRNA from 1 species